rnacentral:rRNA from 1 species
CAGUAGCCACGGGAAUACGUAGGUGGCAAGCGUUGUCCGGAAUUAUUGGGCGUAAAGGGCUCGCAGGCGGUUUCUUAAGUCUGAUGUGAAAGCCCCCGGCUCAGCCGGGGAGGGUCAUUGGAAACUGGGAAACUUGAGUGCAGAAGAGGAGAGUGGAAUUCCACGUGUAGCGGUGAAAUGCGUAGAGAUGUGGAGGAACACCAGUGGCGAAGGCGACUCUCUGGUCUGUAACUGACGCUGAGGAGCGAAAGCGUGGGGAGCGAACAGGAUUAGAUACCCCGGUAGUCCCUGUCUCUUAUAC